rnacentral:rRNA from 1 species
AGAGUUUGAUCCUGGCUCAGGAUGAACGCUAGCUACAGGCUUAACACAUGCAAGUCGAGGGGCAGCAUGGGGGUUGCUCGCAACCCCUGAUGGCGACCGGCGCACGGGUGAGUAACGCGUAUCCGACCUUCCCGCGGCAGGGGCAUAACCCGGUGAAAGCCGGACUAAUUCCCCGUGGUCCCCACACAGGCCAUCCUUCGUGGGGUAUAGGACUCGUCCGGCCGCGGACGGGGAUGCGUCCGAUUAGCUAGUUGGCGGGGUAACGGCCCACCAAGGCACCGAUCGGUAGGGGUUCUGAGAGGAAGGCCCCCCACAUUGGGACUGAGACACGGCCCAAACUCCUACGGGAGGCAGCAGUGAGGAAUAUUGGUCAAUGGGCGCGAGCCUGAACCAGCCAAGUAGCGUGGAGGACGACGGCCCUACGGGUUGUAAACUCCUUUUGCGCGGGGAUAAAGUGCGCGACGUGCUCGCGCAUUGCAGGUACCGCGCGAACAAGGACCGGCCAAUUCCGUGCCAGCAGCCGCGGUAAUACGGAAGGUCCGGGUGUUAUCCGGAUUUAUUGGGUUUAAAGGGAGCGCAGACUGCCUGUCAAGCGUGCAGUGAAACGCCGCGGCCCAACCGCGGCCCUGCUGCGCGAACUGGCGGGCUUGAGUGGGCUGGAGGCACGCGGAAUUCGUGGUGUAGCGGUGAAAUGCUCAGAUAUCACGAGGAACCCCGAUUGCGAAGGCAGCGUGCCGCGUCCCUACUGACGUUGAGGCUCGAAGGUGCGGGUAUCGAACAGGAUUAGAUACCCUGGUAGUCCGCACGGUAAACGAUGGAUGCCCGCUCCCGGCGACACACUGCCGGGGGCCAAGCGAAAGCGUUAAGCAUCCCACCUGGGGAGUACGCCGGCAACGGUGAAACUCAAAGGAAUUGACGGGGGCCCGCACAAGCGGAGGAACAUGUGGUUUAAUUCGAUGAUACGCGAGGAACCUUA